rnacentral:lncRNA from 1 species
AUGUGGCAAGUUCAACUGUAAUCCUCGCCGAUAUCAGUUAUCUACAAUCUAUUCUUAGCCUGAAAUGGGUGAAAAGGAGGGUGGUGAGAUUAUAAAAUCCUAGUGAGUAAACAAACAUCACUCAAAAUAUCUAAAGUCGAGUAAAAGAAGACUAUUAAAACAUUUCAUCAAACUGUAAUUUAUCAUCUUUCAACUUAUUUCAACCAAAUGAAAUCAAUUUAUUUAAAGCAAGUAAUCAGUAUGGCUUAUGAAUUUCUUAAAAAGCUUGGCUCAUGCCAAAAAUUAUUAUCAUACUCAGUUAUCUAGGAUACCUUGGCUGAGGGCUAUCGCAAUUGAGUCCGCCAAGGCUAUUAGAAAGUUGUGUUUUUAUUUUGAAAACAUAGCCGUUCCUUGGCGUUGGCCGAGUUCCCUUUCACGUUGUGGUUUGGCGUGAAGUGAACUUUAAAGUUAUACCUCAGGAGUUACCCUACUCGCCUCUCUAACAGAGGUAAAAAUAUAACAGGAUUCCGUGCCCCUCUAAUAGGCUAGUCCACAGAACCCAACCCACUGCAGUAGGUCAAACCCACUAUACAAUAAAAUUUUGACAGCAUGACAGGGCUAAUAUAUUACUACCCAGCCUGCAAGGGUAAAAUAAAGCAAUUCAUAAAAUUCAUAAAAAACACAGCCCAGCCAGUCAUGCCAAUACAAUAACAUAAGCCAUUAAUUCAAUUUUAAAUUUACAACAUAUCAGUGGUCUCCAAUUACUCUAUUUUCAAAAUCGUUAUUUCGUUUCAAGACAAGUUAUAAAAUAUUUUCAUUUAAACUCAUUUUGUUUACAAAACAUAAAAAUUUACCAUUUGAACUCAUUUUCAUAAAAUUCAUCAAAACCGAAUAAAAACAUACUUUAGAUAACUAAAAUGAUGGUAAGGUUACUCACCGUGUCUAGAGUGGGGAUUUUCGAAAUACUCAGACUACUGAUCUUCGAGUGCAAUUCCCUUGCCUUUAUUAGAGGACUCACCACCUUGACACAGUACAAAAUCGAGAAAUUCACCACAUUGGUACUAAAUUGAAAUUAAACUAAUUUAGACUACUAAUGCUUGAUAUGGAAUGCAAAAAUGUCUAAAUUUUUGCCUAAACGCAGUGUUAGCCUAUUUCGGUCUUUUACCCAAUAAAUUGAUAUACGCGUCCGUUUAAACUUUAAAUUAAUUUUUUUCAUUUUCUAUACCUCAGUUGCACCCAAAUUGACUUAAUGUCCCUCAGUGGGGUGCAAAUUAUUAGUCCCGCUAACAAAUUACAAAAAUACCCCUAUUGGGUAAAAAUUUAUAUUUUUACUCCGAAAAUUCUCAUUAUUUUUCUAGGCUCAAAAUUCAUCAUUAUUCAUCAUAAUUCCUCAAAUAAACAUCAAGAUCAGCAGCCAAUAUUCCCCUAAAAAAUUCGGCAUAAUGGGUUUCAAUGGGAGAAAAUUAUAUCUCUAGCUUAUUUUUGCUAUAUUUCAAUAUAACUUAACUAAAAUCACUUAAUUCAAUUAUAAUCAACCAAAAAUCAAGCUCAGAACUAAUCCAUGGAGGUUUGGCCAGCAUGGGUGCCCAUACCCACUUUCUAAUUUUGCAUGGAAAUGAGAAAAAAAUGCAUGGGUAGUGAAAAUCACAAGGAAAAUCAAUGAAAUUUACCUUUUUAAUGCUUGAUUUCUUGAUUUCUCUUGAUUUUCCCCAAAUUUUUCAGGUAGGAUUCUUGUUUUU